rfam:Stegodyphus mimosarum contig13462, whole genome shotgun sequence.
GCCUUCGUGGUGUAGUGGUCAGUAUUCUCGAUGCGUGUUCGAGAGGUCCGUGGUUCGAAUCCCGAUGAGGGCA